GACGAACGCUGGCGGCGUGCCUAAUACAUGCAAGUAGAACGCUGAAGAGAAGAGCUUGCUCUUCUUGGAUGAGUUGCGAACGGGUGAGUAACGCGUAGGUAACCUGCCUGGUAGCGGGGGAUAACUAUUGGAAACGAUAGCUAAUACCGCAUAAAAUUGAUUAUUGCAUGAUAAUUAAUUGAAAGAUGCAAUUGCAUCACUACCAGAUGGACCUGCGUUGUAUUAGCUAGUUGGUGAGGUAACGGCUCACCAAGGCGACGAUACAUAGCCGACCUGAGAGGGUGAUCGGCCACACUGGGACUGAGACACGGCCCAGACUCCUACGGGAGGCAGCAGUAGGGAAUCUUCGGCAAUGGGGGGAACCCUGACCGAGCAACGCCGCGUGAGUGAAGAAGGUUUUCGGAUCGUAAAGCUCUGUUGUAAGAGAAGAACGGGUGUGAGAGUGGAAAGUUCACACUGUGACGGAUCUACC
rnacentral:rRNA from 1 species